rnacentral:rRNA from 1 species
UAAUCAGUAACUCCUGCUCAAUGUUAUAUAAAUAGCCGCAAUUUUAUGUGCUAAGGUAGCAUAAUCAUUUGCCUUUUAAUUUAAGGCUAGAAUGAAAGGAUUAACGAGAUGAAUUCUUUAUUAUUAAGAUUUCUUUAAAUUUCCUUUCAAGUAAAAAGGCUUAAAUUUAAAGAGAAGACGACAAGACCCCAUCGAACUUAAAAUAAUUUUUUUUCUGGGGCGGAACAAAACUAAAUCUUUUUAAAUCUAAAAUUAACCUAACCCACAAAAAGGAUUCCUAACAAGUUACCGUGGGGAUAACAG